UACGUAGGGACCAAGCGUUGUUCGGAUUUACUGGGCGUAAAGGGCGCGUAGGCGGCAAUUCAAGUCAGCUGUGAAAUCUCCGGGCUUAACUCGGAACGGUCAGCUGAUACUGCUUUGCUAGAGUGCAGAAGGGGCAAUCGGAAUUCUUGGUGUAGCGGUGAAAUGCGUAGAUAUCAAGAGGAACACCUGAGGCGAAGGCGGGUUGCUAGGCUGACACUGACGCUGACAGCGCGAAAGCUAGGGUAGCAAACGGG
rnacentral:rRNA from 1 species